UCGUUAUCGUGUUACUGAUGUUACAGGAAGCCAAAGAACUAAUAAGAAAUAUACAGGUAUUACUUGUGUAGAAAAUAUGAAGCCAUGGAUUAAUAUUGAUAAUUGGGAUAAUGAAAAUAGGUGUUAAUGGAGAUGUGUCUGAGGACAGCCACCAGCAGGAGGGCCGGAUGUUGGCGCUGAGCAAAAACAACUUGAAGUUAGCGAGCAUGAAACUAGUGCCGUUCUCCCUACCACUCAAAGUGCGCCCAACUUCACACCGGUGCAUCCCCUCCUGUUUCGUGGUUACUACGUUGGAGAGCUCGAGGCAGUCUCAUCGGUAUCGCCAAAGUGUUCACUUGUGCAGUGCUCUAGACUUCUAGUGGUCAUAAUUAUUUAGAAGUUGUAUUCAGUGUUUUAAAUAUAAAACUGAAUACUAUAAGUGCUGAUUUAGCAAAACUAAUUAACUAAUGGAAGUACCUUGUGAUUAAUAAACUAAGUAAUUGGUGUGA